rnacentral:rRNA from 1 species
UACAGAGUGUGCGAGCGUUAAUCGGAAUUACUGGGCGUAAAGCGCGCGUAGGCGGCUUUUCAAGUCGAUUGUGAAAUCCCCGGGCUUAACCUGGGAACUGCAGUCGAGACUGUCUAGCUAGAGUAUGGGAGAGGGAAGUGGAAUUUCAGGUGUAGCGGUGAAAUGCGUAGAUAUCUGAAGGAACAUCAGUGGCGAAAGCGACUUCCUGGACCAAUACUGACGCUCAUGUGCGAAAGCGUGGGGAGCAAACAGG